rnacentral:rRNA from 1 species
GAUCCUGGCUCAGGAUGAACGCUGGCGGCGUGCCUAAUACAUGCAAGUCGAGCGAACGGACGAGAAGCUUGCUUCUCUGAUGUUAGCGGCGGACGGGUGAGUAACACGUGGAUAACCUACCUAUAAGACUGGGAUAACUUCGGGAAACCGGAGCUAAUACCGGAUAAUAUUUUGAACCGCAUGGUUCAAAAGUGAAAGACGGUCUUGCUGUCACUUAUAGAUGGAUCCGCGCUGCAUUAGCUAGUUGGUAAGGUAACGGCUUACCAAGGCAACGAUGCAUAGCCGACCUGAGAGGGUGAUCGGCCACACUGGAACUGAGACACGGUCCAGACUCCUACGGGAGGCAGCAGUAGGGAAUCUUCCGCAAUGGGCGAAAGCCUGACGGAGCAACGCCGCGUGAGUGAUGAAGGUCUUCGGAUCGUAAAACUCUGUUAUUAGGGAAGAACAUAUGUGUAAGUAACUGUGCACAUCUUGACGGUACCUAAUCAGAAAGCCACGGCUAACUACGUGCCAGCAGCCGCGGUAAUACGUAGGUGGCAAGCGUUAUCCGGAAUUAUUGGGCGUAAAGCGCGCGUAGGCGGUUUUUUAAGUCUGAUGUGAAAGCCCACGGCUCAACCGUGGAGGGUCAUUGGAAACUGGAAAACUUGAGUGCAGAAGAGGAAAGUGGAAUUCCAUGUGUAGCGGUGAAAUGCGCAGAGAUAUGGAGGAACACCAGUGGCGAAGGCGACUUUCUGGUCUGUAACUGACGCUGAUGUGCGAAAGCGUGGGGAUCAAACAGGAUUAGAUACCCUGGUAGUCCACGCCGUAAACGAUGAGUGCUAAGUGUUAGGGGGUUUCCGCCCCUUAGUGCUGCAGCUAACGCAUUAAGCACUCCGCCUGGGGAGUACGACCGCAAGGUUGAAACUCAAAGGAAUUGACGGGGACCCGCACAAGCGGUGGAGCAUGUGGUUUAAUUCGAAGCAACGCGAAGAACCUUACCAAAUCUUGACAUCCUUUGACAACUCUAGAGAUAGAGCCUUCCCCUUCGGGGGACAAAGUGACAGGUGGUGCAUGGUUGUCGUCAGCUCGUGUCGUGAGAUGUUGGGUUAAGUCCCGCAACGAGCGCAACCCUUAAGCUUAGUUGCCAUCAUUAAGUUGGGCACUCUAAGUUGACUGCCGGUGACAAACCGGAGGAAGGUGGGGAUGACGUCAAAUCAUCAUGCCCCUUAUGAUUUGGGCUACACACGUGCUACAAUGGACAAUACAAAGGGCAGCGAAACCGCGAGGUCAAGCAAAUCCCAUAAAGUUGUUCUCAGUUCGGAUUGUAGUCUGCAACUCGACUACAUGAAGCUGGAAUCGCUAGUAAUCGUAGAUCAGCAUGCUACGGUGAAUACGUUCCCGGGUCUUGUACACACCGCCCGUCACACCACGAGAGUUUGUAACACCCGAAGCCGGUGGAGUAACCUUUUAGGAGCUAGCCGUCGAAGGUGGGACAAAUGAUUGGGGUGAAGUCGUAACAAGGUAGCCGUAUCGGAAGGUGCGGCUGGAUCACCUCCUUU